rnacentral:rRNA from 1 species
UACGGAGGGUCCAAGCGUUAUCCGGAAUCAUUGGGUUUAAAGGGUCCGUAGGCGGUUUUGUAAGUCAGUGGUGAAAGCCCAUCGCCCAACGGUGGAACGGCCAUUGAUACUGCAAGACUUGAAUUAUUGGGAAGCAACUAGAAUAUGUAGUGUAGCGGUGAAAUGCUUAGAGAUUACAUGGAAUACCAAUUGCGAAGGCAGGUUGCUACCAAUACAUUGACGCUGAUGGACGAAAGCGUGGGGAGCGAACAGG